CACACCGCCCGUCACACCAUGGGAGUUGGGUUUACCCGAAGACGGCGCGCUAACCAGCAAUGGAGGCAGCCGGCCACGGUAGGCUCAGCGACUGGGGUG
rnacentral:rRNA from 1 species